rnacentral:lncRNA from 1 species
CUAGGUUCCGGAACCUGACCUGAGCUGGGGCCUGUGCUUCCAGCGGGUGGUGGGGGGCCUGGUGUGCUGGCAUCAAGUAAGCCGACUACCUCGGCAAAGGCUUAGGGACAAGAGACCAGCAGCCUGAACUGGCUGGGGCAUCCGGAAGGCUUAGAUCUUGUGGCCAAGAGUUCAGACCGUGGCGAAGUGGAGAGUGACAUGCAGUUGGAUGGCGGUGACUGCGUGGUAUGGAAUAAAAUUCAGCUGAAAUUUGCUAGAAAAUGAGUUGUAUUGGAAAGAGACUGUAGAGAAAGGCAAAUGGAAGAAGAAAGCUUCUGUGCCCCCACAGAUACCGACUGAAAAGUGUUAGCAUGAGCAAAAGUUCCUAUCUAAUAUUAUAUGCUUUCCUUUGCUCCCAGGUCCUGCAACCCUGGUUCCAGUCUGGCAAGCAUUGUAGACCUGGCUGCUGAAGACUGACGGGGCCCAGGGUCCGCUGCCCCCACCGCCAUCACCACCUCGGAACCCAGGGUAACGCUGUCAGUCUUUGGUAAGCCCAUGCUCUUCCUUUUAGAUCUGGGGACUAGUUACUCAGUUUUAUCAGAAUAUUCUUGACCCUCCUCAGUUCUUCUAUCUCUAUUGUGAGAGUCAAUGGAAUCCCCUCUAGGCACAUACUGGUCCCCUAUUAUGCAACCUAUUCAAUACCCCCUUCAUCCACUCCUUCUUAGUUAUCCCUUAGUGUCCUACCCCUAUCUUGGGGUGGAAUAUACUGAGUAAAUUCCAGGCCCCCAUAUGACUAGCCUCCUGCAAUUCUACCCCUUUUAUUUUACUCUGCUGCCCAGAUGCUUCCCUCUCCUCCCCCUCAUCUUUGCUAUCCACUCUGUUACCUUCUGUCAAUCCAGAAGUGUGGAACGUUUCUAAACCCACAAUAGCCACACAUCACAUCCCAGUCAAAAUAACCUUCCAAGACUCCUCCAUUUUCCUUCAUCAGCCUCAAUAUUCCCUUAGCCCAGCCAGCCUCAGGGGCCUCAAACCUAUUAUCUGUGAGCUUUUACAAGCUCAGUUUCUCAAACCUGUUAACUCUCCCCACAACACCCUUGUCCUGGCUGUCAAAAAAACAGACAGAUUUUACCACUUGGUCCAGGAUCUCCAUGUCAUUUACCAAGUGGAGGUACCAACCUAUCCAGUGGCCCCCAACCCCUAUACUCUACUCUCCCAUAUUCCCCCAUCUAGCACACACUUCUCUGUAUUGGAUCUAA